rnacentral:rRNA from 1 species
AGUGAACGCUGGCGGUAGGCCUAACACAUGCAAGUCGAACGGCAGCACAGUAAGAGCUUGCUCUUACGGGUGGCGAGUGGCGGACGGGUGAGGAAUACAUCGGAAUCUACUUUUUCGUGGGUGAUAACGUAGGGAAACUUACGCUAAUACCGCAUACGACCUACGUUUGAAAUCAGGGGAUCUUCGGACCUUUCGCGAUUGAAUGAGCCGAUGUCGGAUUAGCUAGUUGGCGGGGUAAAGGCCCACCAAGGCGACGAUCCGUAGCUGGUCUGAGAGGAUGAUCAGCCACACUGGAACUGAGACACGGUACAGACUAGUACGGGAGGCAGCAGUGGGGAAUAUUAGACAAUGGGCGCAAGCCUGAUCCAGCCAUACCGCGUGGGUGAAGAAGGCAUUCGGGUUGUAAAGCCAUUUUGUUGGGAAAGAAAAGCAGCAGGUUAAUACCCCGCUGUUCUGACGGUACCCAAAGAAUAAGCACCGGCUAACUUCGUG